rnacentral:rRNA from 1 species
UACAGAGGUCCCGAGCGUUGUUCGGAUUCAUUGGGCGUAAAGGGUGCGUAGGCGGUCUUCUAAGUUUGAUGUGAAAUCCCGGGGCUCAACCCUGGAAUUGCAUUGAAUACUGGAGGACUAGAGUACCGGAGAGGAAACUGGAAUUUACGGUGUAGCAGUGAAAUGCGUAGAGAUCGUAAGGAAGACCAGUGGCGAAGCGAAGUUUCUGGACGGUAACUGACGCUGAGGCACGAAGGCCAGGGGAGCAAAACGGG